rnacentral:tRNA from 1 species
GGUGCCAUAGCUCAGUAGGUAGAGCAAUGGACUGAAAAUCCAUGUGUCCCUGGUUCGAUCCCGGGUGGCACCACCA